rnacentral:rRNA from 1 species
GUAGGUGGCAAGCGUUAUCCGGAAUUAUUGGGCGUAAAGCGCGCGCAGGCGGUCCUUUAAGUCUGAUGUGAAAGCCCACGGCUCAACCGUGGAGGGUCAUUGGAAACUGGGGGACUUGAGUACAGAAGAGGAAAGCGGAAUUCCAAGUGUAGCGGUGAAAUGCGUAGAGAUUUGGAGGAACACCAGUGGCGAAGGCGGCUUUCUGGUCUGUAACUGACGCUGAGGCGCGAAAGCGUGGGGAGCAAACAGGAUUAGAUACCCUGGUAGUCCACGCCGUAAACGAUGAGUGCUAAGUGUUAGGGGGUUUUCGCCCCCCUUAGUGCUGCAGCUAACGCAUUAAGCACUCCGCCUGGGGAGUACGGCCCGCAAGGCUG